CCUACGGGGGGCAGCAGUGAGGAAUAUUGGUCAAUGGACGAGAGUCUGAACCAGCCAAGUAGCGUGAAGGAUGACUGCCCUAUGGGUUGUAAACUUCUUUUAUAUGGGAAUAAAAUGUUCCACGUGUGGGAUUUUGUAUGUACCAUAUGAAUAAGGAUCGGCUAACUCCGUGCCAGCAGCCGCGGUAAUACGGAGGAACCGAGCGUUAUCCGGAUUUAUUGGGUUUAAAGGGAGCGUAGGUGGAUUGUUAAGUCAGUUGUGAAAGUUUGCGGCUCAACCGUAAAAUUGCAGUUGAAACUGGCAGUCUUGAGUACAGUAGAGGUGGGCGGAAUUCGUGGUGUAGCGGUGAAAUGCUUAGAUAUCACGAAGAACUCCGAUUGCGAAGGCAGUUCACUGGACUGCAACUGACACUGAGGCUCGAAAGUGUGGGUAUCAAACAGGAUUAGAUACCCGAGUAGUC
rnacentral:rRNA from 1 species